UUUUUUUCUAAAAAAAUUUUUUUUAAGAGGUAUUGUGAAAGGUAUGAUUUUAUGAUUUUUUGAAGGAGCGAAUUUUUUUUUAAAAUAUUAGUUUGGUUCUUUUACUUUUUGUAUCAUGGAGUAUAUAGGGUUUUAUUUUAUUAUAGGUCCUGAAAAUAAGUAUGGGGUGUUGGUUUAAUUUAGAGGAAAAAUAUGUUUUUUUUUUAUUUUUCAAUGUUCAGUUCUUUAGGGUUAAUCUUAAUGAAAAGGGUUUAGUUUUUAAAAGAGUUUAGUAGAGUUAGAAUUUCUCAUCUUUAGAUUUUUGUUUAAAUUAAUUUUUUAAAAUUUUUUUUAAUUUAGUACCCCUUCCUUUAAAAAAAUUUUUUUUAAAGGAUUAGUAUACUAUCAGUAAAAAAAGUUUGUUUGUUUAUUUUGAUUAAAUUUCUAGGUUUUAUUUUUGAAUGUUGAAGUUGUUUAUUGUUAUUUAAUUGUAAGGAAUUAGGCAAAUAUUAUUUCCGCCUGUUUAGUAAAAACAUGGCUUUCAGAUUAAAAAUAUUGAAAGUCUGGCCUGCCCGGUGAUAUUUUUUAACGGUUGCUAUUGACGGUAGUACUAAGGUAGCGUAAUAAUUUGUCCUUUAAUUGGGGAACGGUAUGAAUGGUUUGACGAGAGAUAGUCUGUCUCACAGUUAUAUUUUGAAGUUUUCUUCUUAGUGAAAAGACUAAGAUUUUUUUAAAAGACGAGAAGACCCCAUCGAGCUUGUUAAGGUGUUUAAUUUUAUUAGAUAAUUAUUUUUUGUUGGGGCAAUGGGGAGAAUAAUAAAUUCUUCUAAUGUUUGUGUGUAUCCUUUUUUAAAGAAUUUAUAAGAAGCUACCGUGGGGAUAACAGCGUAAUUUUCUUGGAGAGGGCUUAUUAAAAAGGAAUGUUGCGACCUCGAUGUUGAAUUAAGGUGUAAUUCGGGUGCAGGAGCUUGAAUAGUAGGCCUGUUCGUCCUUUAAAACCUUACAUGAUUUGAGUUUAAAUCGGCGUGAGCUAGGUUGGUUUCUAUCUUUAUUUUUGGUUUCCUAUGUACGAAAGGAUCGGGAAGCUUAAAUUUUUUUAAUUUGUAAAUUUUUUCAGUUCAAUUCUGU
rnacentral:rRNA from 1 species